rnacentral:rRNA from 1 species
CAGUCGCCGCGGUAAUACGAAGGGGGCUAGCGUUGCUCGGAAUGACUGGGCGUAAAGGGCGCGUAGGCGGAUGGCACAGUCAGAUGUGAAAUUCCCGGGCUUAACCUGGGGGCUGCAUUUGAUACGUGUGAUCUAGAGUGAGGAAGAGGGUUGUGGAAUUCCCAGUGUAGAGGUGAAAUUCGUAGAUACUGGGAAGAACACCGGUGGCGAAGGCGGCAACCUGGUCCUUGACUGACGCUGAGGCGCGAAAGCGUGGGGAGCAAACAGGAUUAGAUACCCCAGUAGUCCCUGUCUCUUAUAC